rnacentral:rRNA from 1 species
AAUAGCGUAUAUUAAAGUUGUUGCAGUUAAAAAGCUCGUAGUUGGAUUUCGGGGUGGCCUGCCUGGUCCACCGCAAGGUGAGUACUGGUCAGCCGCCCUUCCUCUCGAAAGCCCCGACUGCUCUUCAUUGCAGUGGUCGGGUAGUUCGGGACGUUUACUUUGAAAAAAUUAGAGUGUUCAAGGCAGGCUAUCGCCUGAAUACAUUAGCAUGGAAUAAUGGAAGAGGACCUCGGUCCUAUUUUGUUGGUUUCUAGGGCCGAAGUAAUGAUUAAGAGGGACAGUUGGGGGCAUUCGUAUUUAAUUGUCAGAGGUGAAAUUCUUGGAUUUAUGAAAGACGAACUAGUGCGAAAGCAUUUGCCAAGGAUGUUUUCAUUAA